GGCAGGGGCUACAGAGCCUUCCACGUCUUAAGUGACAUUUUGGAAUGGGGCCUUUCUGUGUCCUCUUUUCCUCAGGGUUUCCAGGGGGUUUUGAAGAAUGCUUCAAAAUUGCCUCCAAGUCCUGUCUCAGAGGUCACAUGAGGGGCUACAGAAGACGGUAGAUGUGAGCACAGUCAGUGCCAACUAUCUGGAGCCUCCAGCAGCCCUGGCCAUCCUCCCGACACCUUUGAAAUAAAAGGCAGUGGAUUCCUUUCAUUUGCAAAGUUGAAUUCUAGGGUAUGUAGUUCAAUGACGGAAUUAGGCUUGAAAUACGUUUGCAGGACACAGGUUCAUACAUGAAUGACCCAGCGUGACUCUGGCAUGUGGCUGAAGUUUCCCCAGGGACACCAGGCAGGAGAGCUGAGACUUGACGUCGGCUGGCCUCAAGAGACCUUGGAGUCGGUGAGGACCACGUACUGCCUGGGGAGGCAGGUCUACCUUUGACCCCAGCCCUAGGGCAUGCUGGGAGAAAG
rnacentral:lncRNA from 1 species